rnacentral:lncRNA from 1 species
AAGAAAAUUCAACAAAAGAAAUAGGUCUCUAAUUUCCUGACAGAGGUAGUAUAAACCUUUGAAUUUCUUCAUAGUGGGUCAAACAAAAUCCUGCUCGUCAUUUCUUGUUUAAAACUUAUGCCUGUUUUUCUUGUUCCUUCUCAUACUACUAAUAUGUGCUCUAUAAAUGAAACACUGAAUUCAUUAAUGAGCUUUUUAAUCCCUUGAUUCUACAGAACAAGAUUUCAACUCAAACUACUUACCUUGAAAAAAAGAAAAGAAAAAAAGAUUUCAAUUCAAAGUAGUAACAAAUAAAAAAAAUCCAGAAAAAAUAAAAUAAAAGGAAUAUACUUCAAGCAUUCGAGUACAUAAACCAUCCUAUACCCCCAAUUACAAUAUAUCUAAGCUCCUUCAAGGUUGAAUAAACUUCAACCAUAGUUUGCUUUAUCUAGUCAAUCACACCAAGAUGAGUCCACAAGAAAAGUGUAAUUUGGGCAUCACAGAAAAAUUACAUACACAUACAUGAACACAUAUACUCAACUGCGACACUUCAAGUUCAACUUAUGCGAAACUUCAAUUAAAAGGGAAAACAUAUUACAUACACAUACCUGGUCGCGAUUCUCAGUGGAGAGAAGAGAGAAACUAGGGCACGGUCGCGAUUCUCAAAUCAAAUCUUGGUCUCCUUCACUUUUCAAUGUUUUCACGCACGGUCGCGAUUCUCAGUGAUUUGGAGAGGAGAGAACGCAUUUGGAGUGUCUGCGAUUUGUUUUGGAGAGAAGAGAGAACGAGAAGCUGGGGCUUGUAAUUGGG